rnacentral:sRNA from 1 species
AAGAUGGCGGCGGAGCUGGUGGAGGCCAAAAACAUGGUGAUGAGUUUUCGAGUCUCCGACCUUCAGAUGCUCCUGGGUUUCGUGGGCCGGAGUAAGAGCGGACUGAAGCACGAGCUAGUCACCAGGGCCCUCCAGCUGGUGCAGUUUGACUGUAGCCCUGAGCUGUUCAAGAAGAUCAAGGAGCUGUACGAGACCCGCUACGCCAAGAAGAACUCGGAGCCUGCCCCACAGCCACAUCGGCCCCUGGACCCCCUGACCAUGCACUCCACCUACGACCGGGCCGGCGCGGUGCCCAGGACUCCACUGGCAGGCCCCAAUAUUGACUACCCCGUGCUCUACGGAAAGUACUUAAACGGACUGGGACGGUUGCCCGCCAAGACCCUCAAGCCAGAAGUCCGCCUGGUGAAGCUGCCGUUCUUUAAUAUGCUGGACGAGCUGCUGAAGCCCACCGAAUUAGAUGGAGUCUGACUGUCGCCUGUGCUGGAGUGCAGUGGUGCGAUCUUGGCUCACUACAGCCUCCUGGCUUCAAGCGAUUCUCCUGCCUCAGCCUCCCAA